CCUACGGGAGGCAGCAGUGAGGAAUAUUGGUCAAUGGGCGCGAGCCUGACCCAGCCAAGUAGCGUGAAGGAUGACUGCCCUACGGGUUGUAAACUUCUUUUAUAAAGGAAUAAAGUGAGGCACGUGUGCCUUUUUGUAUGUACUUUAUGAAUAAGGAUCGGCUAACUCCGUGCCAGCGGCCGCGGUAAUACGGGGGAUCCGAGCGUUAUCCGGAUUUAUUGGGUUUAAAGGGAGCGUAGAUGGGUUGUUAAGUCAGUUGUGAAAGUUUGCGGCUAAACCGUAAAAUUGCAAUGGAUACUGGCAGUCAUGAGUACAGUUGGGGUAGGAGGAUGUCGGGUUGUAGCGGGAAAUGGCUUAGAUAUCACGAAGAACUCCGAUUGCGAAGGCAGCUUACUAAACUGCCACUGACAUUGAUGCUCGAAAGUGUGGGUAUCAAACAGGAUUAGAUACCCUAGUAGU
rnacentral:rRNA from 1 species